CACGUAGGGCGCAAGCGUUGUCCGGAAUUAUUGGGCGUAAAGAGCUCGUAGGCGGUCUGUUGCGUCCGCUGUGAAAACUCGGGGCUUAACCCCGAGCCUGCAGUGGAUACGGGCAGACUAGAGGUAGGUAGGGGAGAAUGGAAUUCCAGGUGUAGCGGUGAAAUGCGUAGAUAUCUGGAGGAACACCGGUGGCGAAGGCGGCGUUCUGGACUGCAACUGACACUGAAAAACGAAAGCCAGGGGAGCAAACGGG
rnacentral:rRNA from 1 species